UACGUAGGUGGCAAGCGUUGUCCGGAUUUACUGGGUGUAAAGGGCGUGUAGCCGGGCUUACAAGUCAGAUGUGAAAUCCGGGGGCUCAACCCCCGAACUGCAUUUGAAACUGUAGGUCUUGAGUAUCGGAGAGGCAGGCGGAAUUCCUAGUGUAGCGGUGAAAUGCGUAGAUAUUAGGAGGAACACCAGUGGCGAAGGCGGCCUGCUGGACGACAACUGACGGUGAGGCGCGAAAGCGUGGGGAGCAAACAAG
rnacentral:rRNA from 1 species